rnacentral:rRNA from 1 species
GAUCCUGGCUCAGGAUGAACGCUAGCGACAGGCUUAACACAUGCAAGUCGAGGGGCAUCAUGAGGUAGCAAUACCUUGAUGGCGACCGGCGCACGGGUGAGUAACGCGUAUGCAACCUGCCCGAUACCGGGGUAUAGCCCAUGGAAACGUGGAUUAACACCCCAUAGUACUUUUAUCCUGCAUGGGAUGGGAGUUAAAUAUUCAAGGUAUCGGAUGGGCAUGCGUCCUAUUAGUUAGUUGGG